rnacentral:lncRNA from 1 species
GAUUUGGCCCCGACUGCGAGCCGGACGGGAUGGUGGAGGGGCGGAGGGCGCUGCUGGGGGCCUGGGAGGCUGGAUUUAGGGCUGCCUGGGCGGUACCGCCCGAGGGGCAAGACCCGACAGCGGGGCGCGCGCCGCAACUCCACAGACAAACGAAUUUAAAGGAGCAACCGAGGAGGCACCUGCGAAAGAAAGCCCACACACAGGUGAAUUUAAAGGAGCAGCCCUGGUGUCACCUAUCAGUAAAAGAAUGUUAGAACGACUUUCCAAGUUUGAAGUUGGAGAUGCUGAAAAUGUUGCUUCAUAUGAACUAUUUGGAGUUUUCCUCGUCUUACUGGAUGUCACUCUCGUCCUUGCCGACCUAAUUUUCACUGACAGCAAACUUUAUAUUCCUUUGGAGUAUCGUUCUAUUUCUCUAGCUAUUGCCUUAUUUUUUCUCAUGGAUGUUCUUCUUCGAGUAUUUGUAGAAGGUUUUUGAUCUAGGCCCUGAUUCCCAGACAGCACCUUUGGAUCCACCUGGAGGCUAGGAGAACUUGCCAUCCUGAAGGGAAGGACACAGGCCUGGCUGUUUUUACCAUGUGAUGACUGUAGAGCCCCAGGGCCUUCAGCAAACUCAUGCAAUAGCUAAGGAGUGGUUACAGCAGGUCUUGGGCAAGACCCCGUGCUGUGCUGGCCUCAGGUCUGACCCAAUGCAGUCACAGUAGUGGUGGCCACAGAGGUGCUUAUGUCACUCAACCCCAAGCUUUAGGUGCCUCAGAACAGAGAGAGAGACUCUGUUUGUUUGGGAGAAAGUAAGGGAAGAAAACAAGAGUCUCUUUUUGGUAAUGCAGAGAAUUAUCCUGGAUCUUGUCCAAGACCAUUAAGGCAGUACCGCUAUGAGUCUGCAAGAACCAGAGUUUAGGAGGCUUGGGGUGCCCCCUAAAGCAGAUAGAGAUUAGAUC